rnacentral:lncRNA from 1 species
GCAAAGUCAAAUUAAAUGAUAAUCGAUUGGCCCUUUUGUAGAUAGCUCCAAGGCACUCUACGUAACUGCUCCUGCCUCCCGUCUCUCUCCUCCACAUUUCCAUUUACAUCAUUAAUAGAACUUAUCAAGUAUUUUAUGACACGAGAUCUGACCAUAACUACAUUCAAACUUAACGAUGUAAAGUGUGUUGAGUUAUCCAAGUGUGAGCUUAGGAAAUGUGAUAUUAAGCUUCCCAAAUGGGGACCUGAUCUAUCAUUCAUCCUUUAAAUAGCUAAGAGUUGAAACAACAAUAAUACAUAUUCAUGAUACUUAACAAACUCAAAAAAGAAACGAAAAAAAAUGAGACGGAUCAAAGGAGUAGGUUGGUGGCUUACCAUGAUGAUUGCUUUUGCACUAUCUUUAGUAAACUGUACAGCACCGGAUUCAGACCGUUCCCUCUCUAUUUUCAGCAGCACGUCGAUGAUGUCUUCAUGCUCCUCUUUCACCCUUCCUGGGUUGAGAUGGUCCUCAAUCACCCGUUCGUAGAAACCGUCCAUUUCAAGGAAACUCCUCUCAAGCCUUCCAUGAAGACCAGUGAGUCUAUCCACAAUCCGACCCACGUACGGAAAGAAAUCGGCUGCAGUGAACCCGCCCAACAAAGCCACGGCUUCAUGAACCACUUCUUGAAAUCUUCCGUCACCAAACUCACUCACUUGAAAACUCUUUCCGAAUGCAAUCCUGCAAAUUAUAUUUGCAGUGAGAGACAUUAACCUCUCGGUAAGAUCAAUAGGACUUCCAGAAGAAGAUGAUUGCGCAAUUGAAUCAAUCAGCAAAGUGACCUCCUCUUCUCUGAUGAACUGAAACGAUUGCACCCUUUUUGUGCUAAACACCUCAAGAACACAGAUCUUGCGUACUUCCCUCCAGUAAUCGCCGUAUGGCGCAAAACCUAUGUCUCGGUGAUUGUAUGAGAAUUUUCCAGGUCCAACUAAGGGAGGUCGACUGCAACAAUCAAUAUCAUGAGUUUUCAAGAAUUCCCUUGCAGCUUCCGCAGAGGAGACUACGACGGUAGGGACACCGAGCUGAAGGAGCAUGAUGGAGCCAUAUUUCUUAGAUAGUUGCCAUAAAGAGUAGUGAGGCAACGCACCAAGUUGGUGCAAAUUACCUAUAAUGGGAAGCUUAGUUGGGCCAGGAGGCAGCGGCUUCUUUUGCCCCUUCAACUCUAUUUUCCGUUUUAUGAGAAACAUAAGAGGGAGAAGUAGUAGAAGCAGAUGAAGCCAGAUUGAUGGAGAAUAGAGCGCCAUUGGAACUUGCUCGCUCUAUGAAUCUUGGGUGGGUUGUAGAUACACUACAAAAAGAUACUUUUAUAGUUGCGGUCCUAUCCUGCAGCUAAAAUUAACAAAAAGUUGUGACCAUAUAAAAUUUAGAUAGGGAUAAAAUAGAGCAAAGCUUAGUCAUAGACCAUAGAGGGUGCAGACAAAUCCUAUGGCUGUAGCCACUUAUAAAACUGCCACUAGAAGAAGCUAAAAAUUAUUAAUAGGCUAUACAGGGUUGCAGUUUUCUCUUGGCUGCUACACUUUUCUUGGCCCCUACUAUAGCUAAUUUAUGUGGACAUAAUUUAUUCACUACUAUAGAUCUUUAUUUUUAUUUAUUUAUUUAUUUCAAUGCCUUUUCCUAUUUAUCAAUUAAAAUAUUUUCAAGAGGAAAACCAAUAUCCGAACACAUUUACACACACACAAUUGCCAAUGCUUUCAACGUUAAUUGAAAAUAGAAAAUGCAAAAGACUUUGAUGAGCUGUUUUGCUGAACCACUGGCAAAAAGUAGUAAGCGAGCACUUGUGAGCAUCAAUUGCAAGGUAGGCACUUGCCAUUUCUCACCAGCCUGAGAUGCACUCACAAAUGCAUGGUUUUUGGUGUGUGCAGGAUGAGCCAUCCCUCUAAUGCUAGAAGGCAUUCUUGAGGUUUCUCACCACCAUGUCCUUUCCUCUUUCAGUUCGGUGUCCCGCUGAUCUGAUCUUCAGACAACACUAAAUAACUCAAAAUCAUAAAAUAUAUGUGUUAGUUUCUAAUUUAACAUAAAUAAUAAUCCAUAAAUUCAAAUUUCAAAGACCAAAGUUAAUUUAACAAUUAAACAAAAGUAAUAAAUCCAUUAAUCUAAAAUAAUUAAUAAAAAGCAAUAAGUCACAUCCUAUGAUAACUAAAAAGUGAUAAAUAUAAUUUAAUUUUAAAUAAUAAUAAUAACAAAUAAAUAAACAAUAAUCACCUUUAACAUAUGACAACUUUUACUCUAAAAAGAGCAUUUGAUGAAACUAAAAUUAAAUUAUAUUUAAGUUGUUAAAUUAAAACUUAUUAUUUAAUUUUUAUUUUAAAUAUUAAAAUUUUUUAUAAAAUUAUUUUAAAAAUUAUUUUAAAUCAUCAAAUUAACAUAUUUAUCCUCAUAAAUUAUAAUUAGGGUAAAGAAAGUCAAAUAAUAAUAAAGGUUGUGGAGUAACGAAAAAAAUCAUAGAGAUAAUUAAGAUAAAUCAUAAUAAAAAAAAGGAAAAUAAAGAUGUAAACUUAAUAAUAAUUAAUUGUUUUUAUUUAUUAUUUAAAAUUAUUUUUUAUUUUAAGUUAUUUUAUCAACUAUAUUUAAUGUAUUUAAUUACUUAUAAGUUGUAACUCGUAACACAGACACCCACUAAAUGAGAUUUUUGAUAAAAGUAUAGCAGUUUUAAAAAAUUAUUCCUAAAUUACCGUAGUAGAAAAAAUAAUUCCAAAUUUAUCGUAAUUUUGUUCAAAUAGAAAAGAGAAAAUAAUUUGUAAAUGAAAAAUAGUCUCUCCAGAAAAUAAGUAAAUCGUAUGUUGAGAAAUGGUCUUUUAAAAAAGUGAGACAUCCUCUUUUAAAGAGACGAUUUAAAAAAAUAAUAAUAAAAAAAUUAAAACAAGUGAGAAAUUAUAUCUUAAAAAGGCACGAUUUCCAAAUAUAUAUAUAAAAUUCUCACAAAAAAAAAGGAAAAAAACAAACAAGAUUUUGUCUCUUCAAAACACGAUUUCCACACACAAAAAGUGAUUAAAAAAACCCAAGUGGGCAGCACAAAAGUGAGAAGAGAGUAUUUUGGCCUUUCCAAGCUUGAAAAAGAGCACCCAACUAGGCUUUUCGUCUACAUUGGUAAUACGUUGAAUGCAAGUGUUAGGAAUGGGUUUCGGGGAUUUUGGUUGAUUUGUUUUGUAAGGGUAGUUUGAUACCGGAGCUUCAGGAUCCAGGGACUUGGGAGAAGUUGAGGAAGAGGUUGAGGAAGGAUGGGAGGAUUAUGGUUAAUGUUGGAGGGAGUUGUGUUGAGGCAAAGGAUUCAAGGAGAGAUGGGAAGGUGGUAAUGGAGGAAUCAUUGAAGGCAAUGCAUAAGGUCUUUGGUGAUCAGUCUUUGUUUUGAAUCUCGGAAACAGGAAGGAGGAUAGCUCCAUUGCUCUCACCGGCAAAUUGUCGGAUCUUGAUGAAUGGAAGAAAGUUCUUCCCUGAUCUUUAAGGUUUUAUGUGGAUGUGGACGCCCGUCAGUUCCUAGUGUGACUGUUUCCAGUAACCACUCUCUGAGAAGAAGCAUUCAGGAGCAGUCUACUGAUACAAUUCAUAUAUUUGUGUUUAUUCCUGUUAGAAGCAAUGUUUUUUUUCCCCGGAUUGUGCAAAGCUUAUUUAUGAGGUUUGAAUUUUUCUCCCACCUAAAAUCAUCCUCUCUUUUGUUUUUUUGUUCAGGGCAUCUAAGUAGUAAGGGAGUCAUAUGAUUGUAAAAUGGAUUUAUAAUAUAUUUUUAUAUUAAAUUAUAUUAAUUUUUUUAUAAUAUAUAAAUAAUUAAUUGUAUUAUAAUAUAUAUUAAAUUUUAUUUUUUUUAGUUUUUAAAUUAUCUCUUGAAAAGACUAUCUCCAAUUGCUUAAUUUAAAUUAUCUUUUGGAAAUCAUGCUCUUUUUUUUUAUCGUCUCUUCCAAAUGAAAUUUCUCAUUCUUAGUAAUUUGGAAAGAGAUAUUUUUUUUUUUAAAAAAAAAGAAAAGGUCAUAAAUUUGAAGAGACGAUUUAAAAAAAAAUAUAUCCCUCCCUCCUACCUAACAAAAUCUACCAUAGAUUUGAAAUUAUUUUUUUCAUUACGAUAAUUUAAAAAUUAUUUUUUAAAAUUACGAUACUCUUGUCAAAAAUCCCUCUACCAUUCUAAGUUGACCGGUCGGUCUAAGUCAUGGCUCCUAUUUUCUUGCCUUCUCCUAUUGCAGCAUUGCACCACGUGACAUCUCCUUUUCUUUCUACCAGGUCCUUUUCCUAUCUGCAACGAUUUUCAUCAAUUUCAAUUUGGCCACAGAUAGUGCAAACAUUUUAAUAUUUUUAUUCUUUUUAUACGGGAGAGAAAAGGGGAGAAAUAAAUAAAUUUAAAUUUCUUUUUAUUUUUCUACUUUUCUUUUCUUGUUAACAGUGAUGGAGAAUUGGCACAAGGUUAAGAGCAAACUUCUUACGGACAGUAAGACCUGCUGCUUCUUCCAUGCUAAUAUCUGCCUCCCUAAUCCCAUUCGGCAAGUUCCAAUUGAAACGAUAUAAAAGAUUAGCAAGUGCGAGCUCCACUGUUGCAAUCGCCAUAUACAUACCCGGGCAAAUUCUUCUUCCCGCUCCGAAAGGCAGUAGCUCAAAAUGUUGUCCUCUAAAAUCUACAGAGUUGUCCAUAAACCUCUCGGGCAAAAACUCCUCUGGGUUCUUCCAGAGGUUGGGGUCUCGCCCAAUUGCCCAAACGUUUACGUGGACUUGGGUUUUGGGGUAAAUGUGGUACCCGUUUAUCUCAAAAUGUGACAUGGUUUCUCUUGGAAGUAGAAGUGGGGCGGGAGGAUGCAGUCUCAAAGUUUCUUUGACCACCACCUUGAGGUAGUGAAGCUGAUCAACAUCACUCUCCGUGACUUUUCCUUUAUUUCCAAUGGAGCUUCUAACUUCAGCCUGGGCUUUUUUCAUUAUUCCUGGGUUCCUAGCAAGCUCGGUCAUUGCCCAAGCUACGGUGAUUGCACCAGUGUCCACUCCAGCCAAGAAUAAAUCCUGAGGCACAUGUUAAAAGUAAGCAAAAGAACGCUUUAGUUCCAAGUAUACCAAGCUAAGCAUUAUGCCAUUCUUGGCUCAAAGAACCCAAGACGCAAAGUCAAAUUAAAUGAUAAUCGAUUGCCCCUUUUGUAGAUAGCUCCAAGGCACUCUACGUAAUUUUGCGCCUUCCUCCUCCUCCGUCUCUCUCUUUCAAUGCUUUCAUAAUCAAACCAAGUCUUUAAAUAGAAAAAAAUAUUGGUUCAUAAAUUACCGGUCAAACCAGUAGGUAAACCACGAUGUAACGGGUAACAUUAUAAAUAUAUUAUUACAUAUUAUUAAAAUUAAAAAUAAUUAUAAAAAAUUAUAUAUAUAUAUAUAUAUAUAAUAUUUAAAUGUGAAUAUAUUAAAAAUGAAAGAAAAAUUAUUUAUUUAAUUUUAAUUAAUUUUAUAAUUUUAGAAAAUAUUAUAUGUUUUAUUUAAUAUUAUAAAUUUUUUUAGUAAAGAAUUUUUUUUUUUUGUUUGCCACAUGAAGGAACAAGUCGGAUGUAGUGGAGUGGUCUCUUAACUCAUUUAACGAGUUUAAGGUCCCAGCCCCUUUAAUGAUAAAAUUAAGGAUGGGGAACUGGGCUUUAAUGAUAAAAAGGGUGGGAAGGGAUGGAAGGGAGGGAGGCGGAGGGAGGUGGACUCGGCCUGUUUCAACGAAUAAAAAGGGGUUGCAUUUGAGCUAUUAUUAAGCUUCCAAAAUGGGGAGAUCAGGUGAUCUGAUCUAUCAUUCAUCCUUUAAACGGCUAAAAGUUGAAACAACUAUACUACACACUUAAGAAACUCAAAAAAGAAAAAAAAAAAAAAAGGAGUAGGUUGGUGACUUACCAUAAGGAUUGCUUUCGCGUUAUCUUUAGUAAACUGUAGGGCACUGGAUUCAGAUUGUUCCCUCUCUAUUCUCAGCAGCACGUCGAUGAUGUCUUCAUGCUCCUCUUUCACCCUUCCUGGGUUGAGAUGGUCUUCGAUCACCUGUUGGUAGAAGCCGUCCAUUUCAUGGAAACUCCUCUCAAGCCUUCCAUGAAGACCAGUGAGUCUAUCCACAAUCCGACCCACGUACGGAAAGAAAUCGGAUGCAGUGAGCCCGCCCAACAAAGCCAUGGCUUCAUGAACCACUUCUUGAAAUCUUCCGUCACCAAACUCACUCGCUUGAAAACUCUUUCCGAAUGCAAUCCUACAAAUUAUAUUUGCUGUGAGAGACAUUAGCCUCUCGGUAAGAUCAAUAGGACUUCCAGAAGAAGACGAUUGCACAAUUGAAUCAAUCAGCAAAGCGACCUCCUCUUCUCUGAUGAACUGAAACGACUGCACCCUUUUUGUGCUAAACACCUCGAGAACGCAGAUCUUGCGUACCUCCCUCCAGUAGUCGCCGUAUGGCGCAAAAGAUAUGUCUCGGUGAUUGUAUGAGAAUUUUCCAAGUCCAACUAAGGGAGGUCGACUGCAACAAUCAAUAUCAUGAGUUUUCAAGAAUUCCCUUGCAGCUUCCGCAGAGGAGACUACGACGGUAGGGACACCAAGCUGAAGGAGCAUGAUGGAGCCAUAUUUCUUAGAUAGUUGCCAUAAAGAGUAGUGAGGCAACGCACCAAGUUGGUGCAAAUUACCUAUAAUGGGAAGCUUAGUAGGGCCAGGAGGCAGCGGCUUCUUUUGCCCCUUCAACUCUAUUUUCCGUUUUAUGAGAAACAUAAGAGGGAGAAGUAGCAGAAGCAGAUGAAGCCAGAUUGAUGGAGAAUAGAGCGCCAUUGGAGCUUGCUCGCUCUAUGAAUCUUGGGUGGGAUGUACUUAGGAUACACAUACAUCAUCGGCUUCAACCCCAAUUCCAACUUCUACCACUAUUUUGUCCUAGCAGGCCUUCCAAUUAUCGUUUCCCCUUUUUUAUUCUAUAGCAUUACAUGCCACGUUUCGCAACGACAAGCACAGAUUUGUCUUUUCUUUCUUUCUUUCUUUACCACAAAUUUUGUGAAGUGAUACAAAGCAAGAAAAAAUAUAUUUUCUUUAUAAAACAAUUUUUUUUUUUUUGUCUACAAAUGUCCCCAUUCCAAGUCAUAACAUGCGGAUACAUUCUCAUGUAUACGAGGGCAUAUACAUACAUUUCCAUGUGCACGGAGCCGAUCUUGAAGCUAACUUUCAUUUUUUUAUUUUUUUUAAAACAAAUAUUUUAAUAAGAAGUUUCCAAUUUUAAAAUAUCUUUCCCAUUUUUUUUCAAACCCUAUUUUGUUUUUUUCCUUUUUUUCUCACUUGAUAUACCUUGUAUUAACCCAAAGUUUCAUUGGAACAUUCUCUCAAAUAUAUAGAUAAUUUUUGUCCAUCCCGAGAUCCAUUGAAUCCAAAGUAAAUUAUAAAUUAUUUUUAUAUAUUUAAUAACAUAAUAUAAAUUUUUUUUAUUAAUUUAUAAAACUUAAAUAUUUUAAUCAUGAAUAUUAUUAAAUAUUAGAAAAUUUUUAAUUUUUUAAAUAAAAAAUAUUAAAAUAUGGUAUAAUUUUUAUUUCAAAUAUUAAAAAUAAUAUGUGUUUUAUAUAUAUAUCAUUCAAUAUAUUUCAGGAUAUCAAUAUGAUAUCCUUGGAUAUACAUAUUUUAUCCUUAUCUAUUCAAUUUUGUCAACCAAAUAUAACCUAAAUUAAUGAGAAGUAAUUUAUUGAAAAUCUAUAACAAGCACAAUUUAACAUCCAUGAAGAUCUACAGGACUUCUUGAGUGAAACUUAUAAAUCCGGAGUUGAGAUGUCAAUUCUAGUGGCUAGAGCAUUGUUCAAUUUUAUAUGACCAGAUGAUAAAGAAAUUAAGGCAAAAAAUGCAAAUGAAGUUGUUUCAUGAGGAUGAACUUUGCAUAGAUUGCAAUGUCAAAUCUCAGAUCCUUUUUCAUUCAAUAAGGAAAACGAAAACAUAAAUGUAUGAGACGUGGACGGCACUCCCAACACUUACCUAAUAAAGAGUUCUCUUUUAGUGGCCCCAUUUCAAAUGUCGUGCUUCAUUUUACUUCAUCCAUAUAAACCAACAAACAUUUUGUUGUUUUCAGUGGUUAUGUCACGCACCAAAGCCAACUAGGGCCCAAGAUUUCACUAGAAUCUUAGCAACACAAGCAUCAUGCCACUCAAUAUUGCAGUAACACUCCCAGGAAUAGGGGCUAAUGGGCCCCUAAUUAAAAUCAUUCAAGCUACAAUGCAUCCAUGACCUCUAAAAGCUUUCACAUUUUUCUCUCAAUUUGCUUUUCCAUAUAUAUGCAAUAAGGCAACUUUCAAAAAAUCAAAGGGUAACUAUUUCUUAUCUUUAUUUGCAAAAGCAAUGAUUGAUAUCACUUUUUAUUUAGGACUAAGGAGAUUGUUUGCGGCUCACCAUGAGGAUUGCUUUAAUAUGAUCUUUAUUUAGCUUAAUCGCACCAAAUUUAGGGUGUUCGAUCCCUUUCUGUUUGCAGCAGCACAUCAAUGAAAUUUUCAUGUUCCUCUUUCACAGCUUAUUAAAUUGAGAUCAUGGAGUCCAAUCACCUGCUAAUAGAAACCAAUGAGGAAAAUGUCGGGAUAUAUCAGUGAUAUAUCGUGUAUCGGGAGGGGUUGAUACGAUAUUUCGUAGAGAAAAAUCAGAGGGGAGAUAUUUCCGUAAAUAUCGCCAAAAUAUCGGCGAUAUAUUGGCUCGAGGAGAUAUAUAGGAGAUUUUAAAAAAAAAAAUCACCUCUGGUGGCAAAAUAUCGGCAAAAUAUUGAUGAUAUAUCAGAGAUAAAUCGUCAAUUUUUUUGCAAUAUUUCCCCUCUUUCAUACAACGUGAUCAAACGGCCCAAAUCACGCCCGUGUUGAUAUGACGGCCUAGAUGUGAUUCCAAUGGUAAUAUGGCGAUCCAACGGCCAGAUUGCUCCCAGCUUUUUAUCCAACAGCCAAAAUUGAUUUUCAACGAUAAAUUAAUGUUCCAACGGCUAUUUUGGCCCAAAUUUUUUCUAUAAAUAGCCCAAAUUUAAUCUAUUUCAUCCAUUUUUGCUUUCAUUCUUCAUUUGCUCUCUCAUUACUCCAAUUUUUAUUAAGGUUGCUCAAUUAUUUAAUCAUUUUAAGGUAUAUUUGUUUUAAAUUGUAAUUAAUUUUGUUUGCAAUUAUAAUUAAUUCAUGUAUUUUCAAUUAAUUACUAUGUUUGUAAUAUGGAUGAAUUAAUACUAUUUUUACAUUCAAUUGUAAUUAAUUUUUAUAUUUUUAUUGAAUUAACUUAGGUUAAUUUGAUUAUUUAAUUAUAAAUUGAUAUGUUUAUUUUAGAUGAUUAUUUGUGAUUUAUUUUCACAUUUAGAAUUAAAUUAAACUAGUUAACUUUGCUAAAUUAUUUAAUUAAUUUAAUUAACAUGAACUACUAUAUUUUGAAUAUGAAAUAUGUUUAUUUAAUGAAUUUAAUGUGUAAAAAUUAUUGAUAUUUAAUUAAAUGAAGUAUUUUAUGUGACUUUAUAAUGAGAACAAUUAUAAAAUUAACAUUUCUUAUAGAUCGACAUGAUAUAAUUACAUCUAAUAUCGCAAAUUAUAUCAUAUGUAUAUCAAAUUUUUUAAUAAAACAACUUUAAAAUGUCCAUUAUACUUAUAAUUAUAUUAUUAUGAGGUUUUCCUUGCAUUUCCAUGAGUUUUUAACAAUUUUAAGCCUAUCAAUAUUUUUUUCCAGAAUAUCCGUGAUUACCGAUAUUUUCAUCCUUGGUAGAAACCAUCCAAUUCAUAGUAUGUCCUCUCGAGCCACCCAUAAAGACGAGUGAGCCUAAUCCACAAAGAUUGUCUAAAGCAUUGAAAAGUAUAGAAGUUCUAAAGAGAAACAUGCAUUGUAUAGAAAGUACAUGAUUUUAGUAUGCUAUACGUGGAUAAUAAGGUACUUUGUAAGGUUGCAAAAGAUGAUACAAUUGUUUAUGGUUCAAGUUAAAAAGUCUAUAUUAUAAAGUUUCUUAUAAAUGUCUUGUAUUUAAAUAGGUAAUUAUUUUCCAUCUAAAUGAAAGAAAAUAUAUCUGUUAAUGACUACUUUGAUGAGUUUGAUAGAACCAUGAGAGACAUAAGAAAUAUUAUGUCAAAAUUAUUGAUAAAGAUAAGUAAUAAUUUUGAUGUGUUCCCUUCCAAGUUUUUAUAAGAACCUUGUGAAUACCGUAAUAUCUUAUAGAAAUAAUCAUUCCAUAAAGGAGAUGGGGAUAUAAUUAAAUAUAAGGGAGUUUAAGAAUUAAAUGUCUAAGAAUAGAAAAAAGAAAAAAAAAACCUCAUAAAAAUAUCAAUUGGCUAGAAGGUAAAUAGGGAAAAAAAAAAAAAAAACCUUAAGCAAGAUAGGUCGAGAUCUAUAUCAAACUUCAAGGAAAAACCAAGCAUUUCAAUUACAACAAGAAAGAACGUAAUGAGAGGAAUGGUCUAGAAUGUAAAAGAAAGGCAAAAGAGAAAAUUGUUCUUUUAUGAUAUUGUAGCGGCCAAGGAAAUUCCAUGUUAUAUCCCUUUGUAGUUUUUGUAAGUGACUCAAAUAAUGAAUGAAUCCUUGAUAUAGGGUAAUCUUACCAUUUAACUUUGAGUGGAUACCCAUCAAUUUGAUGGUAGGAAAAUUAUUAUGAGAAAUACUACAACUUACAAGAUUGUUAGGAUAUGCACAAUUCAAAUUAAGAUUCUUAAUGAUAUUUUGGAUGAUACUAAUUGAUGUACAAUAUAUUCCAAUGUUGAAAAAAAGCUGAUUUCUUUUGAUACUUUUCAUUCUAAAAAGGUGCAUAUACAAAGGUAGAAGUGGACUAGGGAGAAUAUUGAAGGGUGCUCUUUUCAUAAUGAGAGGACAAAAAGUUAAUAAUUCUCAUACAUUACAAGACAACAUAGUUAUAGGUCCAAUUAUAUACACAAUAAGGUGGGACUAUUUUGAGCAAAGUGGAUUCACUUGAUAAAAAGAUAUUAGAGAGUGAGUAAUAAAAGUAAAUCCUUUUGAAAAAAAAUCUAAAUGUAGAUUUGUUUUGAAAAUAUUCACAAAAAUAGUGUUAGCUUUAGAAUUAAGGUCAUAGUAAACUGUGAAACCAAGGUGUGAUUAAUCUUGAUUUUGAUAAUAACAAAAUAAGGUUUAGAACUAAUGAUCAUAUUUCAAGUGUGAUUAGGCAAGACGAUUUCCAAAGUGACAAUCACAAAGACAAAUCAAGCCAAAGAGAAAUCAUGAAGAAGAAUACCACCUCAAAGAGAAGAGUUUUUCAAGACCAAAGCUUCAUAAGAUCUCUUUGUAAGGUUGUUGGUGCACUAAGACUUUCAUGCAUUUCAUUAUUUAUUUAUGUACUAAAAUUAUCCAAGAGUAAUAUUGUUUUAAAUAUCUUAAGAAUUGGAUGAUUUCAUGUUUUCAACUAAAACCUUGUGUUAAAUGAUUUUCAAACUUGUGUUAAAAGGUUUUAAGUUGAAAAAGGUUAGGUGUUGAGCCAAAAAAAUGGCUCGACCGGUUGUGCUCAUUCGGUCGAGGACCGGUUAAGGGAGGCCAAAAAGUUUCUCUCUCUCCCAGUGGCCUUCUCUUCCCGAUCAAGGUUGAACCUCAACCGGUUGAGGUCCGGUCGAGGUCAUGUUGAGGUCCGGUUGAGGCCCAACAGUCACUUACCAAGCAUUAAAUGCUAACGGCUAGUCAACCGGUCGACUCCUACCUCGACCAAUCGAACCCCCAACGGCUAGUUUGGUUUUUUUCUUCUAUAAAAAUGCUCUAAUCUUCAUUGUUUCAUGAGUUUAACCUUCCCAAAUCUUUCUUGAUUAUAUUUGAGCCUUGGAAGAGUAUUUUUGAGUGCACCAUUAUUUCAAAACUUGCAUAUCUUUAGUGCACCAUUCAAUCCUAAUUUUUCUUGUAUCAUUUGAACUUAAAGUUCUUGUGCUAAGAUUUUUGAAAGAUCAUUCAUUUGUAAAUCUUUAAAAGGAAGUUUCUCAAGUGUGAGGUAUCACUUGAGGGGUUGUUCAAGAGUGGGAUAUCUCUUGAGAAGUGUAAAGGGUGCUUGGAGCCAAAAAUCCAAGAGGGUGAAUUGGAACCAUAAUCCAAUUGUAUUGCUUGAAGGCUUGGUUUGGAAGCCUUGGAUUAGUAGAACCUCAAGCUCGGGAUUGAAGCUAAACGAGAGUGGAUAUAGGCCGGGUUGCACCGAACCACUAUAAACUCUUGUGUUUGCAUUCUCUCUUCACUACUCUUUAAUUUAUAUGCAAUUGUCUAUAUAUUGAUUAUUAUAUACUUGCAUAUAAUUGUCUCUUGCAUUCACUGGUUUAAAUUUGAGAAAAGAGAUCAUCACUCUAUUCACCCCCCUUUAGGGUGAUUACCAUAGGUUGGAUUAGCCUAAUAUUUCUAGCAUAAACUAUAAUUUUUAUUACCAUAAUUAAUGACUAUGGUUUAACCUUAAACUUAAAACCAAGGUCAGUGAUUAUAGUUUUAACAUAAUUUUUUUAAAAAAAAUAAUAAAAUAUAUGUUAAUGAAGAACUAGUUUGAUGAAUAUUUUUAAAAGUAAUCUAAAUUUGGAAUUUCUUUUUCUUGAAAAAAAUUAAUUUUGUGGCAAAUUAUGAAUUUUAAAGAGUAAAAAAUUUUAAAUUAGUUUAAAAAAUUAUUUUUAAAAACUUGUAACAGAUCCAAAACUGCCUUGACACCGACGUUAUACAAAUGUAGGCAUUAAGCCCACAAAUUAAUAAAAUUUGAUAUUUUUAUUUUUAGGGCUACAUUUGGUCCCAGAAAAUACUAAGGAAAGAAAAAAAAAAUGUAAAGGAAAAUGAUUUUUUCAUAUUUGGUUGUCCUAUAAAAAAUAUCAAAGAAAAUCAAAUAUAAUUUAAACUAAUUAAAAAUUUAUGUAUUUUUAAAUUAUUUAAUUUUUAUAUUGAUGAGUUAAAAAAAAUAAAUUGAGUUUAAAGUAACAAAAAAAUAAUUUAUCAACUUUUAAUCUUUUUUAUUUAUUUUUCUCUAUUUUUUCUUUCCUUCUAUUUUUCUUUUGUAUUUUUUUUUUUUUUUUUUGCAUUUUCCUUCAAAUUUUAUGGAACCAAACAUAGCCCAGAGUGGGAUCAAAAUCCAUAACAUAAAAGAUAUUCUCAUGUGGGUCAGGCUUGGACCUAGAGACAGGUCGAAGUAGCAUCUUGUAAAAUCCAUGAGGUAAAACAUAUGAUUAAAAAUCAAUUAAAAUGGGCCAAGGGCCCCAUAACAGAGCCCAUUAGAUACGUGGCACAACAUCGAUGCGCUGUGUAAACCUAUAGAUGACAGGGUCACAGAGUUGCCCCUUGGAACAUCUAACCCUAGGUGCCGUAUAUUCCAUUUUGAAAAUAUAAAAAAAGUUGACUCAACCACGGUUUGCCUGCAUCUAACCAUGGUCGUCAACGUGUCCGAUCUCUUUGAAAGAACUAGGGUUAGGGUUAGGGUUCGAUCCGAUUGCGACCAAUGGAGAUGGAAAGUGUGACUGAGUUUCCUCAUACUCACAUGGAUCGGCGUCCUCGGAAGAGGCCUAGGUUUGCUUGGGAUGCACCUCAACUUCACCCUAAGGUAAAACUCGAAACCUUUUUGGCUGCUUUUGGUUGCCCAGAAUUGGAGUUCCCAUAUUUGGAUUCGGAUUUUGUGCAACCAAACGCAGCUUUGUAUCAUGAUUGUCCUUUUUUUAAAAUUAGAAAUGUUCCAAAUACAUUUUUUAAAAAUAAUUUAUCCAGUAUAUAUAUAUACACAUUCAUAGAAUCUUUUUGAAAUUUAAAAAAUAUUUAAUAAAUCAACAUAAUAACUUCAGAAAUUAAUAUAUUGUAAUGAUUAAAUUUAGGUUAUUAAGUAUAUUUAGUAUUAUAAUUUAAAAUCAAAAUUAAUUUUUGACAAGAAAACUUAAUGACUUAAUAUAACUUAAUAAUUUAAACAUAAAAUUACUUUAAAUUAUUAUUAAGUAUUAUGUUUUAUGAAAUUCUAAUUGACUUAUUUUUCUUGGCAUAUAAGUGUAAACAUAAUUUUCUUGAUUUCAAAAGAAAACACGACAUAGCCUUCAUGUUGGUAGUGGGAGCAAAGACAACAUAAGAAUUUUUGGACUGUUUGACGAUAUUUCAUUAUAUUUGUUUUUAAAAAUUAUGUUUAAGUUAAAGAAUGAAAAGUAAACUUUUGAUGUUUUCUAAAAGGAAAAAUGUUUUACAAUUAAUUUUGAAGUGCAUUCUAUAUAUAUAUAUAUAUAUAUAUAUAUAUAUAUAUAUAUAUAUAUAUAUAUAUAUAUAUAUAUAAAAGGGAAAAAAACAGGUUUGAAUAAAUUGUUCUUAAAAACAAAUUUUUAUUUUGAUUUUAAAAAUGUUGUUAAUCAAUUUAUAUGAUUUAAACUAUAUUUAAUUUAAGUCUUAUUAAAAAUAAAAAUUAAUUUGUUAUUAUAAAUAAAUUUAAAAAUAUAUAGUUUUUAGUAAAAUAUGAAUAUGAAUAUUAUAGUGAAAUCAUAAAUUGUUUUAUAUAUAUAUAAAAAAAAAUGAUAUUGCCGCUAUAACAAAUAUGAUGUUUUAAAAAUAUAUAGAUUUUAGUAAAAUAUGAAUACUAAUAUCAUAAUGAAAUCAUAAAUUGUAUUUUUUUUUCAUAAAAAAUGAUAUUAUAUAUUUUUGUAGUUAAUUAUGAAGAUAUGGAUAUUAAUAUCUUUAUAUAAUACAAUUAUUUUUUUUUAAAUUUAAUUUCUUUUAAUUUGAAAAAAAAAAUCAUAACAUAGAUAAAUUUAGUAACAUAUUUUGAAGAAUUAAUUUUUAAAUUUUCAAAUUAUUUUUUAAAAUUAGAAUAUUUAUUAUUAAGUCUCACUUGAUUUGGUUUCACUUAAUUCAAAAUUGAGUUGUCGAGUAAGAAAAUUUAAAAUAAACAAUAAAAUUAUGAUGUAUUAUAUAUCAUAUUUGGUCUAUUAUUUUUUAUAGUGAUUAAAUAUAUUUUUAAGUUUCAAAUCAUUUUUAAAAAUUAUUAAAUGUUAUAAUAAAUUUAAUAUAUUAAGUCUUGUUUGAUCUGAAAUUUAUUUGUCAAUAAUAAAAUUUAUAAAAAUAUAAUUAUGUGUAAAAAAACAAUAAUAAAAUUAUUCUAGACCAAUUCUUGUAAAUGGAUUUUUGUUAUAAAGUGUAUUAUAUUUUUAGUUGUAAUCAUUUUUCUCAAUUCAUAAACUUGUUAAUAAAUCCAAUGCAUUCAAAUCUACUUGUUUAAUAAAAAAUUUAUGAAAGUAUAGUUUAAAAGUGCAAAAUAGAGUCAUUUUUUUAUCCAUAAAUUUAUAGUAUUAAUUGGUUGAUUAUUUGAGUUUUAAAUUAUUUUUAAAAAUUACUAAAUUCUUUAAUAAAUCUAACGCAUUGAGUUUUAUUUGAUUUUGAGUUUAUUUACCUAAUUAAAAAAUUCACAACAUAUACUUAUAUGUAAGGAAAAAACUAACAAAGUCAUUUACAAUGAAUUUUGAUCUAUCAGUUUCUAAUGGUACUUGAAUUAGUUUUAAAUUGCAUAACUUUCUAGUACUAACUAGAUUAGUUCUUGAGUUCCAAAUUAUCUUCAAGUUUCAAAUUAUUAGUUCUAGCUUAGUUUUUGAGUUUCAAAUUAUUUUUAAAUAAAAUUAUUUCUAAAAAUGAUUAAAUUGUAUGCAUCAAAUAUCAUUUUAUUUGAGGUCUCAUUGUCUAAUAAUUUUUUUUUUUAAAGAAGUAGAAAGAAAUUUGAAAAAAUAAUUAUAAUUAAAAAAGAUAUCAUAUUUGAAGAUUUUAUAUAUAUAUAUAUAUAUAUAUAGUGAUUGGUGAAGAGAAAAUAAAAUGAGAAAAAGAGAUUGUGUUAUUUUUUUUAAUUAUUUUUUUAAGUUCUCCAAAUUUUCCGUUUAUUUUAAAAAAAAAACCAUUAAAAUAAUUUUUAUUUGUUUUCUACAAACUAUUCUUCAUUCCACUUUAAUUUUUAAAAAUUGUUUCCAAAUUGUUACCAAUGAAAAUGUUAUUAAUUUAAAAAAGCAAUUUCUUACCUUUAAAAAUAAAAUUUUAUUUUUAAAUCAUAACAAAAACACAUUAAAUUAUAAGAGUCAUAAACGACAAUGUUGAUAAGAAUCGCAAUCCUUUACUUUUUUUUUCUUUUUUGGCAUCAAUUUCACAAGACAUAUCGUCCUUAUUUCCCUAUGUUAACUAAGAAACAAAAAAUCACUUUACUUAUGAGUAAAGUCCUCCUCAAGAGAUGACCUUAAGAACCAACCUUUCCCACUUUGUGUUGAAAAGAAACCUUUAACAACUUUUGAUAAGUUGUGACACAAAUUAGGCUAUAAUGGUGGUAGAAGGUUGUCCUGAUACUGAAUUUGGCAUUAUGUACAAAAUGAGGUAAAAGAAUGACAAAAAAAUUGAACAUAAUUGAAAAAAAGAGGAAGAAUGCCCGUAAAAAACUAGUAAGUACCAAAGGGAAAUAGGGUCCUCCUCAUCAAUCGUAUCACUCUCUGCAUCUACCAAACUGCAAAAAUCCAUCUUUGCAUAUUGAAAGUGAUGGAGUAAAGCAGAAUUAUUCAUGAAGAAUUUUAACUUCUUCACUAAUAUCUUGAUAAAAAUGGUAAUUAUAUUUGUAUCAUCUACAUGGUAAUUAAUAUUUAUUUUAAUAUCUCACUUUAUCAUAAAUUGCAGAGGUUUUCACUUUCUUUUUAUUUUACACCCCUUAUUAUUUUAUUUUUAAAUAAAAAAGACAUGAGAAACUACACAUUUGUAAUUAGAAAUGAAAAUGAAAAUUAAAAAUUAUUUUUACAUUUUUUUUCAAACUAAUUUUAUUUAUUUUUUUCACCUUUGUAAAGAUUAAAAAUAUAUAAAAAAAUUGAGUAAUUUUAUCUAUAUUUAUUUUUUUGUAUUUUUUUUAGAGUAAAUCAAAUAUGAAAGGUAAAUGAUUUUUUUUCUUAGUACUAUCUUAAACUAAGCGUUGCUAUGCAUGGUAAGUUAUUAAAAUGAUGAUAAUGCCUUAUAAGAAGAAAGGCAACAAAAUUUUUCCCUUUUUCUUUUUCUAAUUUUCCUCAAUUUUUAUUCUCAUUUCUUUGGCGCAAGCUGUUUACAAUCCAAACGAAAUUGAACCUUCCAUGGAAAAGGAAAAAAAAAUAAAACAAAAUAAGAAGCACAAUCAAAUUUCAAAUUUUUUUUCCAUGAAAUAAAUUUCCUUUUUUUUUUAACAUUUUUCAUGGAAGAAACGAUAAAAAUGUUGGGAAAAAAACUAUUCAAAACUAAUUUAUUUUUAAUUUCAAAAACCUAAUUUAUUUUACCUUUUCUUCCUAUUUUUUUUCCCUCUGAUUUUUCUUUAAAACAUUUACGAGAACAAAGCAUAAUCAACCAAACAUAGCCUACACGUUUCCUAUGUCAUUUUCCCAGGAAAAAGGACUGGUGUUUAAUCUCCAUACUCCACUUAUUUUCAUUAAUUUAUCAGCAACUUAAAGUUUUCGUGGGACAAAUACAAAGAAUAUCAAGAACGAUUCCUCUUAUCACCGGUAUUGUUAACAGUGAUGGAGAAUUGGCACAAGGUUCAGAGCGAACUUCUUACGGACAGUAAGACCUGCUGCUUCUUCCAUGUUAAUAUCUGCCUCCCUCAUCCCAUUCGGCAAGUUCCAAUUGAAACGAUAUAAAAGAUUGGCAAGUGCGAGCUCCACUGUUGCAAUCACCAUAUACAUACCCGGGCAAAUUCUUCUACCCGCUCCGAAAGGCAGUAGCUCAAAAUGUUGUCCUCUAAAAUCUACAGAGUUGUCCAUAAACCUCUCGGGCAGAAACUCCUCUGGGUUCUUCCAGAGGUUGGGGUCUCGCCCAAUAGCCCAAACGUUUACUUGGACUUGGGUUUUCGGGUAAAUGUGGUAUCCGUUUAUCUCAAAAUGUGACAUGGUUUCUCUUGGAAGUAGAAGUGGGACGGGAGGAUGUAGUCUCAAAGUUUCUUUGACCACCAUCUUGAGGUAGUGAAGCUGAUCGACAUCACCCUCCGUGACUUUUCCUUUAUUUCCAAUGGAGUUUCUAACUUCAACCUGGGCUUUUUUCAUUAUUCUUGGGUUCCUAGCAAGCUCGGUCAUUGCCCAAGUUAGGGUGAUUGCACCAGUGUCCACUCCAGCCAAGAAUAAAUCCUGAGGCACAUGUUAAAAGUAGGCAAAAGAACACUUUAGUUCCAAUAAGUAUACCAAGCUAAGCAUUAUGCCAUUCUUGGUUCAAAGAAACCAAGACGCAAAGUCAAAUUAAAUGAUAAUCGAUUGGCCCUUUUGUAGAUAGCUCCAAGGCACUCUACGUAACUGCUCCUGCCUCCCGUCUCUCUCUUCCACAUUUCCAUUUACAUCAUUAAUAGAACUUAUCAAGUAUUUUAUGACACGAGAUCUGACCAUAACUACAUUAAAACUUAACAAUGUAAAGUGUGUUGAGUUAUCUAAGUGUGAGCUUAGGAAAUGUGAUAUUAAGCUUCCCAAAUGGGGACCUGAUCUAUCAUUCAUCCUUUAAAUAGCUAAGAGUUGAAACAACAAACUCAAAAAAGAAACGAAAAAAAAUGAGACGGAUCAAAGGAGUAGGUUGGUGGCUUACCAUGAGGAUUGCUUUUGCACUAUCUUUAGUAAACUGUACAGCACCGGAUUCAGACCGUUCCCUCUGUAUUUUCAGCAGCACGUCGAUAAUGUCUUCAUGCUCCUCUUUCACCCUUCCUGGGUUGAGA